rnacentral:tRNA from 3 species
GCUGUGUUGCCAGAGUGGUUAAUGGGUAAGACUUGAAUUGUUUAUAAUUUGGUCAUCUUAUGGUUUCGGCCUCGUAGGUUCAAAUCCUGCACACAGCG